rnacentral:rRNA from 1 species
UGGGGAAAAUUGCACAAUGGGCGCAAGCCUGAUGCAGCCAUGCCGCGUGUGUGAAGAAGGCCUUCGGGUUGUAAAGCACUUUCAGCGGGGAGGAAGGCGGUGAGGUUAAUAACCUCAUCGAUUGACGUUACCCGCAGAAGAAGCACCGGCUAACUCCGUGCCAGCAGCCGCGGUAAUACGGAGGGUGCAAGCGUUAAUCGGAAUUACUGGGCGUAAAGCGCACGCAGGCGGUCUGUCAAGUCGGAUGUGAAAUCCCCGGGCUCAACCUGGGAACUGCAUUCGAAACUGGCAGGCUAGAGUCUUGUAGAGGGGGGUAGAAUUCCAGGUGUAGCGAUGAAAUGCGUAGAGAUCUGGAGGAAUACCGGUGGCGAAGGCGGCCCCCUGGACAAAGACUGACGCUCAGGUGCGAAAGCGGGGGGAGCAAACAGG